rnacentral:rRNA from 1 species
CCUACGGGAGGCAGCAGUGGGGAAUAUUGCACAAUGGGGGAAACCCUGAUGCAGCGACGCCGCGUGAGUGAAGAAGUAUUUCGGUAUGUAAAGCUCUAUCAGCAGGGAAGAAGCAAGACGGUACCUGACUAAGAAGCCCCGGCUAACUCCGUGCCAGCAGCCGCGGUAAUCGAUAGGGGGCCAGCGUUAUCCGGAUUUACUGGGUGUAAAGGGAGCGUAGGCGGUAUGGCAAGUCUGAAGUGAAAGCCCAGGGCUUAACCAUGGGACUGCUUGUGAAACUGUUAGACUAGAGUGCUGGAGAGGUAAGUGGAAGUCCUAGUGUAGCGGUGAAAUGCGUAGAUAUUAGGAGGAACACCAGUGGCGAAGGCGGCUUACUGGACAGUAACUGACGCUGAGGCUCGAAAGCGUGGGGAGCAAACAGGAGUAGAUACCCCUGUAGUC